rnacentral:lncRNA from 1 species
GCUGCGGCAGUGAAGACAACUGCAGCGGAGCGGCGCGCUCUCGGUUGGGGUGGAGGCUGCGGCAGCGGCGCUCGCGGGCCUUUGGCUGGGGCGAGACUCCGGGCCCUCCAGUUGCGCUUUCAGUUUCGAGACUUCCACUCCAUUCCCCACUACCCAGGACCUCAUAUCUACCACAGAACCCAGAGCCCAGGCUCUGUGUUGUGGAGCGGUAGGGGCCUGUGGCUGAGCUGGGAUCUGGCAGCCACACGACUGUCCGGCCACGCCCUUGUUCAUAUGGUGCAGGCAGCGACUUCUUCAUCAAGAACUUCUAUCAGCCUGGAGACUGCACACACUAACCUCACUGUGCAAGACCUCACCAAUGGCUCUCCUACUGGGUCACAUUGUAAGAACUGUCUUGCCUCUUCCUGGAACUCCUGUGAUCCCUGGGAACACGGGCUGUUACGAGUCUGCUGCCCUGGUUCUUGGAGUUUCCGCCAACUCUUAGAGAACUGCCCCUGCGAGAGGGCCUCAGGAUAGUAACCGGGAGAAUCACCCCCUUCACACUUUGCCACACAGCAUUGUAAGCUGUCAGAGGCCUGCUCCUGUGUCCUGACCUCAAUAGCACCCCUCCUUCUAAGCGCCAGGCCCGGCCCUCCGAAGUACACGACAGGAGCUCAGGCAAGAGCAGUUCCUCAGGCCUUGCCCUGCGGUGCUGAGAGAAGAAAGGGAACUUAGACUCUGCCAGGGUCAAGAGGCAGG